CUACGGGAGGCAGCAGUGAGGAAUUUUGCGCAAUGGGGGAAACCCUGACGCAGCAACGCCGCGUGAGUGAAGAAGGCCUUCGGGUUGUAAAGCUCUGUCAAGUGGGAAAAAGUCUUGCCGGUUAAUACCCGGCCGGAUUGAUGGUACCGCUGAAGGAAGCACCGGCUAACUCCGUGCCAGCAGCCGCGGUAAUACGGAGGGUGCAAGCGUUGUUCGGAAUUACUGGGCGUAAAGCGCGUGCAGGCGGGUUGGCAAGUCAGACGUGAAAGCCCAGGGCUCAACCCUGGAAGUGCAUUUGAAACUGCCAUCCUUGAGUAUGGGAGAGGAGAGUGGAAUUCCCAGUGUAGAGGUGAAAUUCGUAGAUAUUGGGAGGAACACCCGUGGCGAAGGCGACUCUCUGGACCAAUACUGACGCUGAUACGCGAAAGCGUGGGGAGCAAACAGGAUUAGAAACCCCGGUAGUCC
rnacentral:rRNA from 1 species